AAUGAACGCUGGCGGCAGGCCUAACACAUGCAAGUCGAACGAAGCCUUCGGGCUUAGUGGCGGACGGGUGAGUAACGCGUGGGAACGUGCCCUUUGCUUCGGAAUAGCCUCGGGAAACUGGGAGUAAUACCGAAUGUGCCCUACGGGGGAAAGAUUUAUCGGCAAAGGAUCGGCCCGCGUUGGAUUAGGUAGUUGGUGGGGUAAUGGCCUACCAAGCCGACGAUCCAUAGCUGGUUUGAGAGGAUGAUCAGCCACACUGGGACUGAGACACGGCCCAGACUCCUACGGGAGGCGGCAGUGGGGAAUAUUGGACAAUGGGCGCAAGCCUGAUCCAGCCAUGCCGCGUGAGUGAUGAAGGCCUUCGGGUUGUAAAGCUCUUUAGCCGACGAAUAUAAUGACUGUAGUCGGAGAAUAAGCCCCGGCUAACUUCGUGCCAGCCGCCGCCGUAAGAC
rnacentral:rRNA from 1 species